UCUCGGCAUAUUGAAUCGUCGAGGCCGC
rnacentral:sRNA from 1 species